CGACCCCAGGUCAGGCGGGACUACCCGCUGAGUUUAAGCAUAUAAAUAAGCGGAGGAGAAGAAACUUACAAGGAUUCCCCUAGUAACGGCGAGCGAC
rnacentral:rRNA from 1 species